GUGUAGAACGCCACUUGCGGGGUGUCGGCUAUGUUUGACAUGGGGUGGCAAUUUUGAAGCGACGAAAAAGUAAGAAGGUAAGUUCAAGCAUCAAAAUUUCUUAUUUCUAGAACUCUCAGUACCAUAUAAUGUAUUGCACGGAAGGAACCGCAACAUAAUCUAUUUCCUGAAAGCAGAAGCAGUCGUUUUCAGUGCUCAGUUUUCUCAAACACCUCGCCCUAGUUUUCCGUGUUGCAGAUUUUGAGGCUUUAUAUGCAAAUUUCGGUAUAAAAAACUACUUUACACAGCUACCCUCCGUAUCAUUUAUAUAGAAUUGUAUUCCUCUCAUUGACUUAUACCAAAUACCAGUUUCUUAGUUAAAAUUAAUUGGUUUUAAAACUGUUAUUCAUCAAAAUAUAAAGUGUCGCUCGGGGUGUCAGAUUUUGCGUCGCAAGGGGUAGAGGCUUGUCAUAAAAAAAAGAAUACAUUUUCUUAUAAAUCGAUCUCUAUCUGAUACUUUUUAAUUCAAACACACCUACACAAAUAGGAACAUAAAUGUAACAGAAAUUCAACCUAGAAAAACACAGGUUACAUCAAAUUCUUCAAAUUUUAUUCAAUUCCGGUUCGUUUAGAGAUAUGUAUAUAGUCAGAGUAGACCUUCAAAGUAGAUAUGAUAUGAUAGAUGUGUAACAGAAAACGGAUAGUUCUAGCUGGGCGAUUACGAACGAAAUAACUGUCUUGAAUCAUUUUUUCUUGUAAACCUGUUCCGUUGUAUAUUUGUGUACAAGUCGUUGUUUUCUCAUUGACAAUUGUAGUAUCAUCGUCUUCAGGAUUACUUGAAGUUGUGUUGUCAUUCGCUGAAAAAGAUGCCGGUGAGUGUUUCAUUGGAGAGAGUGUUCUAAUUCUUUUAGGAGUAAUGGAUUUUUGCGGCGUGCACGAGUGCUUUUUAGAUGAACCUGGUGAUGAACUAUGAUGCAUUUUGGCUGGUGGAGGCUUCGGGCAUAUCUUAUAUUGAGGACUAUUUUGUGAUGUUUUGGUUUAUUGAGCCAUAGCCUUGACUUUUUUUUACCAUGAUAGUGACUGAAAAGGAAAAGAAAUCGUUUACCAGCUUGAAAACUAAAUAUUUUAAGCCAUUUUUUUACUAUGAAUGAAAUCAAAAGCACAUGUUUUAUAAGACCAAAAACAGGCAAAAUGAAAAACCCUUAUUUUGUCAUGGUAAAGUAGAUGUGAAUGAAAUCAAAAGCAUAUAUUUUAUAAGACCAAAAACAGGCAAAAUGAAAAAUCCUUGUUUUGUCAUGGUUAAAGUAGAUGUGAUUGAAAUAAAAUGUAUCAUAUGAAGACUAAUUUACAAGCAAAUAUGUAUUUUUUAUGACAAGCCUCUACCCCUUGCGACGCAAAAUCUGACACCCCGAGCGACACUUUAUAUUUUGAUGAAUAACAGUUUUAAAACCAAUUAAUUUUAACUAAGAAACUGGUAUUUGGUAUAAGUCAAUGAGAGGAAUACAAUUCUAUAUAAAUGAUACGGGGGAUAGCUGUGUAAAGUAGUUUUUUUAUACCGAAAUUUGCAUAUAAAGCCUCAAAAUCUGCAACACGGAAAACUAGGGCGAGGUGUUUGAGAAAACUGAGCACUGAAAACGACUGCUUCUGCUUUCAGGAAAUAGAUUAUGUUGCGGUUCCUUCCGUGCAAUACAUUAUAUGGUACUGAGAGUUCUAGAAAUAAGAAAUUUUGAUGCUUGAACUUACCUUCUUACUUUUUCGUCGCUUCAAAAUUGCCACCCCAUGUCAAACAUAGCCGACACCCC
rnacentral:lncRNA from 1 species